AGUUCUGUUGGCAUGACACGUGUCCCGCUGUGCCAAAACGUAUCGUAUCAUAUUUUAAAAAAAACCGGUUGGGCUUUUCUUCAUAAUUAGGGUGUGUUGUUUGCUUUAGUAAGCCCAGUCCCAUAGAUCUUAUAUUUUGAAACGCGUCGUUUUUGAUUUUUUGGUUUCAUCCCUCUCUCUUCUCUGCCGUAACAAUUCUAUGGUUGCGUUCGAGUUUCCAUCUUCUUCCUACAGAUCUAGAAAUCGCCAGUUACCGAUUCAUUCCUAUUAAAUUUCUUCAUUAAUCCAUUGUACACGAUCUCUCUUCAAUGCCAUCUAUGCUCUUGGAAAGCGGUGGAGAUUCGACUAUAAAAAGUUGAGGUUAGGUCGUUGGGUUUCUGGGAGGUGAGUAAUAUUAGGCGCGGUGAUGAACUCAUGUAUGUCCAUAUGCUUUUGCUUGAUUCAAAUGUGAGUUCCGUUUUUGAAGCAAAUGUGUCUAAGGCAAGGAGGAUGAAUUAGAGGGAGAAGAAAGUGAGAUAGAGUCGGAUGGAGUUAAGACCAAAUUUUUUUUUUCGUUCUCAAAAUUAGACAAAGUUGUUAUUAUUAUUUUGCUGUAUCUAUAUUUGACGGUCUUUGUGGACCAAGUUAAGAAUAAAGCUUCUGCUGGUGUGUCAAUGGUAAACACAAAAGAAAAAAGAUUUGAAGAGAUUUGGAAAACAAAUAGUUUUUGCAAGACUUAUGAUGGUAAGUCGUAGAGACGCAAAGUAUUGUCUUUGCAAGAGCACAACAAAACUGGCUUGGCUUCUGCAUCAUGCACACCUCAUAAAACUAACACUCCCUGAAUAUUCAGUUAUUAACAGAAGUUGUUAGUUACAUUACAUAUAAGAUUAGGACCAAAAGUGAGAGGAUAACACGUUUAACAAGAAAC